rnacentral:rRNA from 1 species
GACGAACCGUGCGAACGUUGUUCGGAUUCACUGGGCUUAAAGGGCGCGUAGGCGGAUGGUCAAGUCGGGGGUGAAACCUUUCAGCUUAACUGGAAAAGUGCCUCCGAUACUGAUCGUCUCGAGGGAGGUAGGGGCAUGUGGAACUUCCGGUGGAGCGGUGAAAUGCGUAGAUAUCGGAAGGAACGCCGGUGGCGAAAGCGACGUGCUGGACCUCUUCUGACGCUGAGGCGCGAAAGCUAGGGGAGCAAACGGG